CGUCCUAUUAGCUAGUUGGAGAGGUAAUGGCUCACCAAGGCUACGAUGGGUAGGGGUUCUUAGUGGAAGGUCCCCCACACUGGCACUGAGAUACGGGCCAGACUCCUACGGGAGGCAGCAGUAGGGAAUAUUGGUCAAUGGGCGCAAGCCUGAACCAGUCAUGCCGCGUGCAGGAUGAAGGCUCUAUGAGUUGUAAACUGCUUUUGUACAGGAGCAAAAAAAUCCCUGCGGGGGUUCUUGAGAGUACUGUAAGAAUAAGCACCGGCUAAUUCCGUGCCAGCAGCCGCGGUAAUACGGGAGGUGCAAGCGUUAUCCGGUUUUAUUGGGUUUAAAGGGUGCGUAGGCGGCUUAUUAAGUCAGUUGUGAAAUCCUAGUGCUUAACGCUAGAACUGCGAUUGAUACUAUU
rnacentral:rRNA from 1 species